GGCGAACGGGCGAGUAACACGUGAGUAACCUGCCCACAACUUUGGGAUAACGCUAGGAAACUGGUGCUAAUACUGGAUAUGUGCUCCUGCUGCAUGGUGGGGGUUGGAAAGCUCCGGCGGUUGUGGAUGGACUCGCGGCCUAUCAGCUUGUUGGUGGGGUAGUGGCCUACCAAGGCGGCGACGGGUAGCCGGCCUGAGAGGGUGACCGGCCACAUUGGGACUGAGAUACGGCCCAG
rnacentral:rRNA from 1 species